rnacentral:rRNA from 1 species
UGGCGGCGUGCUUAACACAUGCAAGUCGAACGGUGAACACGGAGCUUGCUCUGUGGGAUCAGUGGCGAACGGGUAGUAACACGUGAGCAACCUGCCCCUGACUCUGGGAUAAGCGCUGGAAACGGCGUCUAAUACUGGAUACGAACCAUGAAGGCAUCUUCAGUGGUUGGAAAGAUUUAUUGGUUGGGGAUGGGCUCGCGGCCUAUCAGCUUGUUGGUGAGGUAAUGGCUCACCAAGGCGUCGACGGGUAGCCGGCCUGAGAGGGUGACCGGCCACACUGGGACUGAGACACGGCCCAGACUCCUACGGGAGGCAGCAGUGGGGAAUAUUGCACAAUGGGCGCAAGCCUGAUGCAGCAACGCCGCGUGAGGGAUGACGGCCUUCGGGUUGUAAACCUCUUUUAGCAGGGAAGAAGCGAAAGUGACGGUACCUGCAGAAAAAGCGCCGGCUAACUACGUGCCAGCAGCCGCGGUAAUACGUAGGGCGCAAGCGUUAUCCGGAAUUAUUGGGCGUAAAGAGCUCGUAGGCGGUUUGUCGCGUCUGCUGUGAAAUCCGGAGGCUCAACCUCCGGCCUGCAGUGGGUACGGGCAGACUAGAGUGCGGUAGGGGAGAUUGGAAUUCCUGGUGUAGCGGUGGAAUGCGCAGAUAUCAGGAGGAACACCGAUGGCGAAGGCAGAUCUCUGGGCCGUAACUGACGCUGAGGAGCGAAAGGGUGGGGAGCAAACAGGCUUAGAUACCCUGGUAGUCCACCCCGUAAACGUUGGGAACUAGUUGUGGGGUCCAUUCCACGGAUUCCGUGACGCAGCUAACGCAUUAAGUUCCCCGCCUGGGGAGUACGGCCGCAAGGCUAAAACUCAAAGGAAUUGACGGGGACCCGCACAAGCGGCGGAGCAUGCGGAUUAAUUCGAUGCAACGCGAAGAACCUUACCAAGGCUUGACAUAUACGAGAACGGGCCAGAAAUGGUCAACUCUUUGGACACUCGUAAACAGGUGGUGC